GAAGUCGUAACAAGAGUUUCCGUAGGUGAACCUGCGGAAGAGAUCA
rnacentral:rRNA from 1 species